rnacentral:rRNA from 1 species
UACGUAGGGUGCGAGCGUUAAUCGGAUUUACUGGGCGUAAAGCGUGCGCAGGCGGCCCGUUAAGACAGGUGUGAAAUCCCUGGGCUCAACCUAGGAAUUGCGCUUGUGACUGGCGGGCUCGAGUACGGUAGAGGGGGGUGGAAUUCCUGGUGUAGCAGUGAAAUGCGUAGAGAUCAGGAGGAACACCGAUGGCGAAGGCAGCCCCCUGGGCCUGUACUGACGCUCAUGCA